rnacentral:misc_RNA from 1 species
GCCAUCUAAGGUGGGGCGGUUAACCAGUCUUGAAAGAUUAUCCUUGUUUGCUGUGGGUACAGAUAGGGGAGGUAGCAUUGAAGAACUAGAAUGCUUAAACCAACUAAGCAGCGAGUUGGAGAUAAGUUAUCUUGAGGAGGUGAGAAACAAAGAAGAAGCAAAGAAAUCAAAUCUACAGGGGAAAACGAAAUUGAAAGCCCUUCAUUUUAGAUGGAGAUUUGAAUGGAAUUUUGAAAGAGAAA